UGUCCGACACUUGAGGAAGUAAAUGUCUGUUUGUUUAAGACACUCUGACUGUGGUGUUUGUGAUGACGGCCUGACUGGAGUGGCGUGGGAGAGUUAAGUAGCUGAAAUGGUAAAACUGUAAUGUGUGGAAUGGUUCAUGGCUGUGGAUGGUUAAACAUCCCUGUAAAACCAAUCAUAAAAUGAAUCAUGACGUUAGCUAAAUGUGCUGGGCACUUAAGUGGCAGGAAAUACCAUUACUUUAUGGGCACCAACUCAUUUACUUUUCUCUUGGUCCUAGCAGAUAAGCCUAUGACUUCAUCCUCGUCCCUGUGAAGGCACCGGGGUGCAGAGAGGUGAAGAUAAAGACCACAAAGCUAAUCACAGAGGCGGGGUGGAAGCAUGCCCUUGGGGUACAGUUUCCAUGCCCGAAACACUAUGGACUGGGUUGGACUAUGGAGAAUGCUAUGAACUAGGAGCAAAAAUGGAGGGAAAAGUGUUCUGCAGACUGAUCAGCUAGAUCAGUUCGUUAAAUCUGGGUGACCAGUGAGUGACAGAAGACGUUGAUUUCAUUGCCUUUCAGUUGCAGGGAAAGGAAAACUGAUGGUGUGAGUCUUGAUGAGGUUGAAAGAAAGAUGCUGCAAAAUCAAGAAUAGGACAUUGGGCCAAGGCUCAUGUUACCUUCAAGCUACCUCCACUUGAGAGGGUGCUUUUGGAAGAUUAUCGGAAAACCACUGAAGUGUUAAAGAAAUGUAUAGUAAAGCAUGGAUGCCAGCUCUUAAUGCAAAUUGUAAACUGUGUCCUGCUGGAGACAGAUGCUUGCUGCCCCUCUCAAAUGCUGAACAUUCAAGAACUGCACUUCCCCAGAAACCAUGGAACUGGGUGCCGUCUGUUGCCUGUGUUCUAGCCUAUUCGGCAAUAAUGGAAGCGAUGUAAGACUUUCCUAGGCCCACAAAACCCUCCCAUGCAGAAAUACACCAUGAUACUUACUCCUUUUAGCCGUCUCAUAGAGGCAGUGCCCCAGUGACUGCGUGGCUAAGUGUUGUUGAAAACAGCCAAAGCCAACUAUUACCAAUUUUGAGUCUGGGAAAGACCUAGAUAAACUGCAUUCAGCCCAUCUGUUAAUAACCCGCUACUGUUAAGUGAAUAAGAAAUAAAUUUCUGUUGUGUUUGACCCAC